UACGGGGGGAGCAAGCGUUGUUCGGAUUUACUGGGCGUAAAGGGCGCGUAGGCGGCCACCGCAAGUCGACUGUGAAAUCUCCGGGCUUAACCCGGAAAGGUCAGCCGAUACUGCGGGGCUAGAGUGCAGAAGGGGCAACUGGAAUUCUCGGUGUAGCGGUGAAAUGCGUAGAUAUCGAGAGGAACACCUGCGGCGAAGACGGGUUGCUGGGCUGACACUGACGCUGAAGCGCGAAAGCUAGGGGAGCGAACGGG
rnacentral:rRNA from 1 species